GACGAACGCUGGCGGCGUGCUUAACACAUGCAAGUCGAACGGAAAGGCCCAGCUUGCUGGGUGCUCGAGUGGCGAACGGGUGAGUAACACGUGGGUGAUCUGCCCCUAACUUCGGGAUAAGCUUGGGAAACUGGGUCUAAUACCGGAUAGGACAAUCGUUUAGUGUCGGUUGUGGAAAGUUUUUUCGGUUAGGGAUGAGCCCGCGGCCUAUCAGCUUGUUGGUGGGGUAAUGGCCUACCAAGGCGUCGACGGGUAGCCGGCCUGAGAGGGUGGACGGCCACAUUGGGACUGAGAUACGGCCCAGACGCCUACGGGAGGCAGCAGUGGGGAAUAUUGCACAAUGGGCGCAAGCCUGAUGCAGCGACGCCGCGUGGGGGAUGACGGCCUUCGGGUUGUAAACCUCUUUCGACAGGGACGAAGCUUUGGUGACGGUACCUGUAUAAGAAGCACCGGCUAACUACGU
rnacentral:rRNA from 1 species